CGAUAGGGUGAAACCUUAUAUUCUUCCUAAAAUGAGAUAUAAAAUUUCUUUGACCCCGUAACGACUGAGGCCUUACGGCCGAGAUAGUGGCUUUUAAACCAUUAUCACACGCUGACCCCUAUUUUAAAGAAAUAGGGAGAUGAUAUAGUCUAUACUUCAAGUAAUUGAAGA
rnacentral:autocatalytically_spliced_intron from 1 species